AGAGUUUGAUCCUGGCUCAGGAUGAACGCUAGCUACAGGCUUAACACAUGCAAGUCGAGGGGAAACGACAUCGAAAGCUUGCUUUUGAUGGGCGUCGACCGGCGCACGGGUGAGUAACGCGUAUCCAACCUGCCCAUCACUUGGGGAUAACCUUGCGAAAGUAAGACUAAUACCCAAUGACGUCUCUAGAAGGCAUCUGAAAGAGAUUAAAGAUUUAUCGGUGAUGGAUGGGGAUGCGUCUGAUUAGCUUGUUGGCGGGGUAACGGCCACCAAGGCGACGGAUCAGUAGGGGUUCUGAGAGGAAGGUCCCCCGACAUUGGAACUGAGACACGGUCCAAACUCCUACGGGAGGCA
rnacentral:rRNA from 1 species